UUCCACCUGAGGAAACCCGCGCUCCCCAUGGCGUGGGCGCGAGCGCCCCCUGGAGGCCCCGGCGGAGGGAGCGGCCUGGAGCGGAGCGCGCCGCCUCGCCCCGCCCAGAGAGCAGUUCCCCGGACUUGGGGGCUCCCGCCCCGGGCGGCCGCAGCCGCGCUUCCACGCCUGGCCCAGUCGCUCACCCCGGGCGCCUAGGGACACGUCACCCUGAGGACCUCCUCUCCACUUCGGGGUAAAGCGGGAAUAUCUGGAAGGCGGUGGGAGCGAUGCUUCUUUUCACACACAUUAUAGGAAACCUCUUGGAUGGAUGCCCAACUGCCACCAAAACCGGUGAGGGUAUCGCUCACCUCUGCAUCCUCGGUGUCUACAAGAGUGCCUGGCAUAUGUCUGACUCAGCUGAAUUGCAAUAACCUUCAAAUGAAUCAUUUAUAAUUCAAAUGGUCUGCAAGUCAGCUGGGAUGGCUCUGCUUCAGGAUGCAGCUUU